GAGUUUGAUCCUGGCUCAGAUUGAACGCUGGCGGCAGGCCUAACACAUGCAAGUCGGGCGGUAGAGAGAAGCUUGCUUCUCUUGAGAGCGGGCGGACGGGUGAGUAAUGCCUAGGAAUCUGCCUGGUAGUGGGGGAUAACGCUCGGAAACGGACGCUAAUACCGCAUACGUCCUACGGGAGAAAGCAGGGGACCUUCGGGCCUUGCGCUAUCAGACGAGCCUAGGUCGGAUUAGCUAGUUGGUGAGGUAAUGGCUCACCAAGGCGACGAUCCGUAACUGGUCUGAGAGGAUGAUCAGUCACACUGGAACUGAGACACGGUCCAGACUCCUACGGGAGGCAGCAGUGGGGAAUAUUGGACAAUGGGCGAAAGCCUGAUCCAGCCAUGCCGCGUGUGUGAAGAAGGUCUUCGGAUUGUAAAGCACUUUAAGUUGGGAGGAAGGGCAGUAAAUUAAUAACUUUGCUGUUUUGACGUUACCGACAGAAUAAGCACCGGCUAACUCUGUGCCAGCCGCCGCAACG
rnacentral:rRNA from 1 species